UUUAGCAUAUUGAGAGAAAUUUUUUUGUUUAACAUGAAUGUUUUUUUUUUUUUUUGAGAGAGAGAUAAGUAGCACGCUACUCGCUUCGUUUUAAUUCAUUUAGAAAUAAAUUUAGCUAAAAAUGUGAAUCAACUAGAAUUCGAACUUGGGUCUCGGAUACCAACCACCAAGCCCUUCGUCACCAAGCCCUUCGCCACUUUUUUAACAUGAAUGUUAGAACUAAAGCGGAGAGAUCUAGCUAAUUCGUUCGAUGCGAAAAUACAAAAAAAAAAUUCGAGAAAAAAAAAUAAAGCACACAAUAUUUACGUGGUUCAACUAUCGGUCUACAUCCACGGGCGAAGACAGAAUGAAGAUCUUCAUCAUAAUCAAAAUGGUGUACAAAAUAUGGCUCUCUCAUAAAACUCAAAUUCUAAAAAUAUAUACACCCAUAUUCCCUUUCAUCUGCCGCACUAAAUCAAUGGAAUAAUCGGUAUAUUUAUAAUAGCAGCUAAAUUCUACUACAACUAGGAAUAUAGUACAAACCCACUAAGAUUAGAAAUAUUUCAAUAAGAUUAAAUAUAAUCUAAACUUAACUUAAUAGAAUAAUCAAAACAGCAUAAGGUUAGAAAUUAAACCUUACGGUACUAAAAUUCGGAACAUAUCUAACAAUGAAGAAUCAAUG
rnacentral:lncRNA from 1 species